UACGAAGGGGGCUAGCGUUGCUCGGAAUCACUGGGCGUAAAGCGCACGUAGGCGGACUCUUAAGUCGGUGGUGAAAUCCUGGAGCUCAACUCCAGAACUGCCUUCGAUACUGAGAGUCUCGAGUCCGGGAGAGGUGAGUGGAACUGCAAGUGUAGAGGUGAAAUUCGUAGAUAUUCGCAAGAACACCAGUGGCGAAGGCGGCUCACUGGCCCGGUACUGACGCUGAGGUGCGAAAGCGUGGGGAGCAAACAGG
rnacentral:rRNA from 1 species